UGGUAGAAGCAAUAAGCCUUCUGUUGACUGGGGAAUUUUCUGCCUCAUUGCCUCAGCAGAUUUACAAAUAUCUGCUGCUACAGUUUGUAGCAGUGCUGUAGCAAAGUGACAUAGUUUGGAUCCAAGUUCCUGUAAUCAUUGUGUGCGCUAAGCAAGCUAUUACAGUUGCUGCGUUUGUCUCAUUAAUCUACUCACAAAAUAUUUUACUCUCUCAGAAUGUUGCUGCUGAAGGAAUCACCAACUAAUGAAUAAUUCGGUGAUGCUAACUCUGUUUCUCAUGUCAUGGAGUAUGCAGUGAAUUACGGUCUAGAACAACACACGGUAGUUGCCCAUGACAUGCUACAAUAUUAAUUAUGGUUUGUUACAGCUACUUUAGAUGUAAUUAAACAUUUCAACUGUUUAGCUGUCUGCUCCUUAUCAGAUUUCUGGUGGUAUCAUUAAUGGUUUGUAUCAUGUACAUGAAUUAAUUUAGUUCUUAUUAAAUUAUUCAAUAACUGUUUUCUAUGUUUUCACUACAUCAUUAUGUGUGAUGUAGAUGCUGACCACUCUCUGUGUCCAGUGGGAAAAUAAUGACUGCUGUUGCACGUACAAGAUGAAGAUCAUCUGUUACAAGUCAGAAAUUCAGACUUGAUUCACUGUGUUUAAAGUUUUAGUUCAAACUUGACAGCGAAAAAUUGUAUUAAACUUGCACUUCAGGUAGAUUGUUCAUGAUUAUAUAUAUGGAUAUCAACUCAUAUGGAAUAUUUAAUAAUAGUGAAAAAUAUUUACC